AUGGUUGUCCUCUUACCUCCCCUCAGAGGCAGGCAGGGCAGGGAACAGCAGAUCUGAAGCUAGAGAAGUCUUUCUGGUCCUGCGGGUAGAAGGCAGAGUGCAAGGCCCAUCUCACACCCAGGUAUGGCCUCGGAAAUAGGACAGCGACUGAAUGGCCUCAGGAGCAAGGGAAGGAGAUACGCCUGGGGCUAGGAUGGGAAAGUUUGCUUCCCAUGGUUGCAGAAGCUUCAAGAGAACGAUGUUCCUGAUGUCUGCCUCCCAGUUGCCAUGGAGACGCAGUGUGCAGCUGGAUGAGAGCUCAUGGUACCUGCCUUCAUGAAGUGUAGCAUCUUCCUGGGAUGCAUGAGAAAGGCUAUCUCCCACCUCAGAUCUAUGCAGCUGCAGUUCCUCCUCUCACCUGAAGGUUCUCCCUAAGGGCCAAAGCUUGGAGCUGCUCAGCCACAAC
rnacentral:lncRNA from 1 species